AACCCUUUUUUUAACUCCGCCAAUACAACUCCUUGCAUUGCCGGUCCCAAGCCUGGGUAAAGGAGGAGGGAGAAGGGCUUUAGAAUGAGAUCGUUAACUAUGGAGGAGAUCUUGAAAAUGCAGUGGAUGUUGCAUGUGGGAGGAUUGGAGCUGCAUAUUUCAGAUUCAAGCAUUUGGUUUUCAGGUGAGAUGAACGAGUUUCAAAACAAAACAGUCUGCGGUUUUGAGAAGCGAUUCCCAGGAUAUAUGUGUGUUUCAGGGGCCAUUUGCACCUUGGAAGCAUACAAUGGAAGG